GGGUGUAUAGCUCCAAUUGGUAGAGCGGCUGAUUCCAAAUCAGUAGGUUGGGGGUUCGAAUCCCUCUGCACCCGCCA
rnacentral:tRNA from 2 species